GGCACCAGUAGCUCAGUCGGAUAGAGUACCUGGCUACGAACCAGGUGGUCAGAGGUUCGAGUCCUCUCUGGUGC
rnacentral:tRNA from 1 species